rnacentral:rRNA from 1 species
GAGUUUGAUCCUGGCUCAGAACGAACGCUGGCGGCAUGCCUAACACAUGCAAGUCGAACGAACUCUUCGGAGUUAGUGGCGCACGGGUGCGUAACGCGUGGGAAUCUGCCCUUGGGUACGGAAUAACUCAGAGAAAUUUGUGCUAAUACCGUAUAAUGACUCCGGUCCAAAGAUUUAUCGCCCAAGGAUGAGCCCGCGUAAGAUUAGCUAGUUGGUGGGGUAAAGGCCUACCAAGGCUACGAUCUUUAGCUGGUCUGAGAGGAUGAUCAGCCACACUGGGACUGAGACACGGCCCAGACUCCUACGGGAGGCAGCAGUGGGGAAUAUUGGACAAUGGGCGAAGCCUGAUCCAGCAAUGCCGCGUG